GUCUAUGGUCAUACCACCCUGAAUGUGCCUGAUCUCGUCUGAUCUCAGAAGCUAAGCAGGGUUGGGCCUGGUUAGUACUUGGAUGGGAGACUGCCUUGGGAAUACCGGGUGCUGUAGGCU
rnacentral:rRNA from 1 species